UUUGGUUUAAAGAAUGAGUUAAUCCAGCCCAUCUUCCUGUCUGGCUUUUUCGCAGCAUAUAUUCACUCCAAAGUAACUUUCCCAGGAGGAGACAGAUGGAGAUUUGGAGUUCAUUCAAAGGUAUUUACGAGGAACAAAGAUGUUGAAAGGAAAAGUUCCAUCUAAAACCACAGGGCAAAUGGUACAGAAGAAACCGGUUGAAGUGAACCCAAGUUGCCACUCUUCUUUGCAAAGUGAAGGAUUUUCAUUGGAAUUUCUAAAUCUGUUUCAGUGACUGGCGGAAACAAAAGGAGCCUGAAAGAAGAGAGAGAGAAGAGGGAGAAACAAGUGGGGCAUUACAUAUACAAAAA